AUUGUGGUCUGUGCCCCAGGUGGGGCUGUGGCCUGUGUCCUCCAGUGGGUGCUGCAGAUGCAUGGAUAGAUGGAAGGAAGGAAAGAUGAAAAGACAGAUGGCUGUGUGCUUGGGGCUCCCAAGAGUGAAGCAAGGCUGGGCAGGACCUGGCUGACUCAGCAGGAUCAGGAGCCUAGCAGGGGUCUCCUUUCCUCAAGUUGGCCUUGACGCUGUGCCUGGGACUGUCUCGAAAGAGCUCUGCCCUGUGAGCCCAAGAGGAGACUGCCUGUGUGCUUUUGGGUGGCUUUGCUCACCAGGGCCUUCAGCACCUGGAGCCACAGGCCGAGCCCAGGGAGCCACCCCUCCCGGAGGAGGGACGAGGCUUGCCUGCUGGGCCUGGGCACCCUGCCGUCCCCAUUCCUCCCAGUCACCUCGUGGCUAUGUUGCUCUCUUUCAGUUGUGUGGCUGAGUGUGAACUGUUUUGUCCUUCCUCAUUGAAGUCUCUCCUGGGUUUUCUUAAGGCGCGCCCCGCUUGGCGAUGGUUUCGGACCGGCCAUUGUCAAGGAAGCCCCUCUCCAUCCUGAGACAUACCUAUCCAAACACAAGAACACGAGAAGAGCUGAUCAGGAACUAACUUUACACUUGGAGGAAAAAUGGCCAAAGAGCUCAGAGAAGGUGCUCAGGACUCCAGCGCCACCCUUCCACCUCCUUCCCCCAAUCGCCAAAGUAACACGAUCAAGAAGAGGAGAGUCACUUUGGGAUGGCUAGGUGGACUCAACUGCUCACUUGAUGGUGAAGACACAACUGACCCACCGCCGGUUGAGCUGUCUCUUUUGGCCGGCCAGCACCUCAUCUCCUGGCAACCACUAUUUCCUGAGAAGAGGCAGAUGGUAUAGAUAGAGAUUUGGAACUGGUUUCACCUCUCUUCCACCCUGUGUCCAUUGAAGAUGCUGAUAAUUGAUCAUUUUCACAAGGUCCUGAUGGUCUCAGACUCAACAUCAGAAUUUUCAACACAAAUCUCCAGGCAAGCAGUGCCAUCUACUUGAAUUGUCACUUGAUGAAAAAUUCUCUUUGCCAUUCUAGAAUAGUGUAUAGCACAUAUAUAAUGAAAUCAUACAGACUUGGUUGAAAUCCAUGAUUCUCAUCUUAAUCCUGGAUCUAAGUUACUUGACUUCUCUAAGCCGCAGUUUCCUCAUUUUAAAUUUAGGAAUGAAAACAUGUAACUCAGAGGGCUACUGUUAAUUAAAAGGCAGCAAACAAUGACAGUGUAUCAUUUGUGCAUUUAAUAACGUAAAUUCAAUGAUCAUGCUCUGAAAAGAGCAAGCGGGAGAGAGAGAAGUCAGUAACAGUUCCACUCAAUGUGCAUGCACCCCCGAG
rnacentral:lncRNA from 1 species